AGUCUUCCCCGAUCUGGUAACUACUGACACUUCCUUCUUUGCGGUUGAAUUUUCCCCGAUCUGUAUGCUAGGCUCAUCGUAAUUCCACGGCACUUGUUGCAGACUUAAUACGGGCUCCUGCUUCGGGAAUUCGAUGACUACUGGUUUCAAAGCUUCAUUCUCCGCUGGCGUGAGAUCUAAGACAAAAGGCUUGUUAUCUUCUUCGAAUGGCAACUCUAUGACAAACGGUUGGUCCGUGACCCCAAACACUUCAGCUUCUAUUGCCAAUUUCUUGAUUUGUUCCUCGUACUCCGCAUCGUCCAUAAUAACCCCAACAUGCUCUGGUAAGGGGUUUUGAUUUACG
rnacentral:lncRNA from 1 species